GACGAACGCUGGCGGCGUGCUUAACACAUGCAAGUCGAACGGAAAGGCCCUGCUUUUGUGGGGUGCUCGAGUGGCGAACGGGUGAGUAACACGUGAGUAACCUGCCCUUGACUUUGGGAUAACUUCAGGAAACUGGGGCUAAUACCGGAUAGGAGCUCCUGCUGCAGGGGGGGGGUUGGAAAGUUUCGGCGGUUGGGGAUGGACGCGCGGCUUAUCAGCUUGUUGGGGGGGUAGUGGCUUACCAAGGCUUUGCCGGGUAGCCGGCCUGAGAGGGUGACCGGCCACAUUGGGCCUGGGAUCCGGCCCAGCCUCCUACGGGAGGCAGCAGUGGGGAAUAUUGCACAAUGGGCGGAAGCCUGAUGCAGCAACGCCGCGUGCGGGAUGCCGGCCUUCGGGUUGUAACCCGCUUUCGCCUGUGCUGAAGCGUGAGUGACGGUAAUGGGUAAAGAAGCACCGGCUAACUACGUG
rnacentral:rRNA from 1 species